GACGGAGGGUGCAAGCGUUGUUCGGAAUUACUGGGCGUAAAGAGCGUGUAGGCGGUCUGAUAAGUCGAGUGUGAAAGCCCGAGGCUCAACUUCGGAAGUGCACUCGAAACUGCCAGGCUUGAGUACGGGAGAGGGAAGUGGAAUUCCUGGUGUAGAGGUGAAAUUCGUAGAUAUCAGGAGGAACACCGGUGGCGAAGGCGGCUUCCUGGACCGAUACUGACGCUGAGACGCGAAAGCGUGGGGAGCAAACAGG
rnacentral:rRNA from 1 species